GGGUUUCAAGCUUUUUCAAAGUUCAAUUGUAUGUGCAUUUAAGCCUCAUUUUUAAUGUUCUUCGUAUUUUUGAGAUCCUAGAAGCUUAACCUUUCUAUUUUUACCAUUUAUUUGCAUGAAAAAUGAAGUUUAAAAAUUGAACCAUGCUAGAUAUUUGUGCAUUUUGAUGUUUAAUGGUAGAAUAAGGGUGCACGAGGUUAGGAGAAUGAUUUUUGCUAAGUGAUUUUCGUUGAAAAUGGUUAAAACGGGUUAAUUAGUAAAAGUUGUAAAUACUCCUAAAAGUGUGAAAUAAUAAGAAUUUGAGGUUCCUUUAGAAGAGAAAAAGGUUCGGUUGACCUUGAAUGUUAUGGAAAUUGAAUAAAAAUCAUAUUACGAGCCUAGGGGCAAAAUUGUAAUUAUGAGAAAGUUUAGGGGGAAAUUGUAAAUUUGCCGUAGUAUGAUUUUUGUAUUAAAAUGAGUAAUGUGAGUGAUAAUUAAGUGAAAUGUGACAUUUUAGAUCAAAAAAAUCGAGAUUUGGACCAAGUACGGGGAAAUAUCAAUCAAAAUGAUCGAUUCGCGUUGAGGUAAGUUCAUAUGGUUAGUAUAAGUGAUCGAUUAUUAAAUUUGAAUUGAGAUGAUGUAUUAUUUUAUAUAUAUUUGUUAUCUAAUCAUGACUUUAUGCAAGUACAAGAUUAGAUUGAAGGAUUAAUCGUGAGAAAUGCAGGGUCAAGUACAUUCGUACUACAACUCGUGAUGAAUUGACGGAAAAGACCCUGGUUGGACCAUGGCAGUGAGUGUGCCAGUGUAAGACCAUGUCUGGGACAUGGCAUCGGCACGAACAGAGGAGAGUCAGUGUAAGAUCAUGUCUGGGACAUGGUGUCACGGGGCUAGACCUUUCGUCUCACAAUCUGUGCG
rnacentral:lncRNA from 1 species